GAGGAAGGUAGAAUUCCCGGUGUAGCGGUGAAAUGCGUAGAGAUCGGGAGGAAUACCAGUGGCGAAGGCGGCUUCUGGACUGACACUGACACUGAGGUGCGAAAGCGUGGGUAGCAAACAGGAUUAGAUACCCUGGUAGUCCACGCCGUAAACGAUGUCGACCAGCCGUUGGGUGCCUAGCGCACUUUGUGGCGAAGUUAACGCGAUAAGUCGACCGCCUGGGGAGUACGGCCGCAAGGUUAAAACUCAAAUGAAUUGACGGGGGCCCGCACAAGCGGUGGAGCAUGUGGUUUAAUUCGAUGCAACGCGAAGAACCUUACCUACUCUUGACAUCCUGCGAAUUUGGUAGAGAUACCUUAGUGCCUUCGGGAACGCAGAGACAGGUGCUGCAUGGCUGUCGUCAGCUCGUGUUGUGAAAUGUUGGGUUAAGUCCCGUAACGAGCGCAACCCUUGUCCUUAUUUGCCAGCGCGUAAUGGCGGGAACUCUAAGGAGACUGCCGGUGACAAACCGGAGGAAGGUGGGGACGACGUCAAGUCAUCAUGGCCCUUACGAGUAGGGCUACACACGUGCUACAAUGGUCGGUACAAAGGGUUGCCAACUCGCGAGAGUGAGCCAAUCCCGAAAAGCCGAUCUCAGUCCGGAUCGGAGUCUGCAACUCGACUCCGUGAAGUCGGAAUCGCUAGUAAUCGUGGAUCAGAAUGCCACGGUGAAUACGUUCCCGGGCCUUGUACACACCGCCCGUCACACCAUGGGAGUGGACUGCACCAGAAGUGGUUAGCCUAACGCAAGAGGGCGAUCACCACGGUGUGGUUCAUGACUGGGGUGAAGUCGUAACAAGGUAACC
rnacentral:rRNA from 1 species